UUUGGCCUGUGAUGAACAAAAUCUUUGCCUACAUUGUCUGAUUGUUCUAGACGAAGAGUAAUUUUUAUGCUAUCUGAGGCCAUU